UUAUUCUUAGGCCGAAAUCCUGGCACCUUAGGUCGAUCGGUACCUCAGCUUUGAAGUGACUAAUUCCGCAGCGAUGUUGACGAGAGUCCUGGAGAUUCUUAAUUCCUAAACUUUGUCUAAGUCACACCCCAUACGGGAUGAGACUCCUGGGCCAUUAGCUCAGGUGGUUAGAGCGCACCCCUGAUAAGGGUGAGGUCCCUGGUUCCAGUCCAGUAUGGCCCAUUCGGUGUUGGGGGUUUAGCUCAUUUGGUAAGCGCCUGCUUUGCAGGCAGGAUGCCAGCGGUUCGAGUCCGCUAACCUCCACUGACGAAUCUUCUGACAACGAGCCAAUGGUGAGAAUCGUUGUGUGAUGUGAUUUAAGAAUUUAAGUUUGCUGGCAGACCCUAUCUUCUUAUCUUUCCAGGUCUCAAUCAAUUGAGAUUAAGUUGAUAUGACGCUGUGCUCACUGCAAUUCGCAAGAAUUGCAGAGAUGUUCAGCUGAACCCUGAACUACUGCCUAGGUAAGUCUCGGAAGAAUAACGCAUCUCCUGGAUGCAGAUUCUAGUGAAUCACUGAUGCAUCUGCGCGAGUACAGAGCUGAGGUGAGGAACGAGAAGAGUUUGAUGCUUGAGUCACGACUGAGACACUAUAUC
rnacentral:tRNA from 1 species